UGGGGAAUAUUGCGCAAUGGACGAAAGUCUGACGCAGCAACGCCGCGUGAGGGAUGACGGCCUUCGGGUUGUAAACCUCUUUCAGCAGGGACGAAGCGAGAGUGACGGUACCUGCAGAAGAAGGACCGGCCAACUACGUGCCAGCAGCCGCGGUAAUACGUAGGGUCCGAGCGUUGUCCGGAAUUAUUGGGCGUAAAGGGCUCGUAGGCGGUUCGUCACGUCGGGAGUGAAAACUCGGAGCUUAACUCCGAGCCUGCUUCCGAUACGGGCAGACUAGAGGUAGGCAGAGGAGAGCGGAACUCCUGGUGUAGCGGUGGAAUGCGCAGAUAUCAGGAAGAACACCGGUGGCGAAGGCGGCGCUCUGGGCCUUACCUGACGCUGAGGAGCGAAAGCGUGGGUAGCGAACAGG
rnacentral:rRNA from 1 species